rnacentral:snoRNA from 1 species
GUCAAUGAUGAUUUCUGUCUGCAAAAUGUAUGCUCUGUGGAUUCAAGCCCCUGUUUCAGGGAGAACCUCUUGAUGAAGCAGAUAUAAUAUGACAUCAAUUGACAUAUCUGAGAC